rnacentral:rRNA from 1 species
UACGAAGGGGGCUAGCGUUGUUCGGAAUUACUGGGCGUAAAGCGCACGUAGGCGGACUUUUAAGUCAGGGGUGAAAUCCCGGGGCUCAACCCCGGAACUGCCUUUGAUACUGGAAGUCUUGAGUUCGGAAGAGGUGAGUGGAAUUGCGAGUGUAGAGGUGAAAUUCGUAGAUAUUCGCAGGAACACCAGUGGCGAAGGCGGCUCACUGGUCCGAUACUGACGCUGAGGUGCGAAAGCGUGGGGAGCAAACAGGAUUAGAUACCCGCGUAGUCC